UUCCGGUUGAUCCCGCCGGAGGUCACUGCUAUUGGGGUCCGACUAAGCCAUGCGAGUCAAUAGUUCUUCGUGAACUAGGCGGACGGCUCAGUAACACGUGGGUAAUCUACCCUCAGGACAGGGAUAACCCCGGGAAACUGGGGAUAAUACCUGAUAGGUGGAGAGGUCUGGAAUGAUCCUCCGCCCAAAGCUCCGGCGCCUGAGGAUGAGCCUGCGGCCGAUUAGGUUGUUGGCGGUGUAACGGACCACCAAGCCUGAGAUCGGUACGGGCACUGAGAGGUGGAGCCCGGAGAUGGGGGCUGAGAAACGGCCCCAGGCCCUACGGGGCGCAGCAGGCGCGAAAACUCCGCAAUACGCGAAAGCGUGACGGGGGGACCCCAAGUGUCAUGCCUUCGGGUAUGAC
rnacentral:rRNA from 1 species